UAAAAACCAGAGAGAAACCACAGCAGUGAAUUCUGAACAUUCAGGAAAACAGAGAUGUGCUACCUCUUUUUUUUUUUUUUUUUCCCAAUGUCAUUAUUUUUAGGAAAUGCAAUCACUAAAAUCUUGAUCAAUCAGCAGGUGUUCAUUUUUCAUUUUACCCUGUGACUGGCUUCUGAGAUUCUCCUUCUGAGAAUACUCUAGACCUGAAUCUGCUCAUGCUGAAAUAAAAACAAACGUGACCAGUGACUUCAAUGGCAGAAGAGUUCCAAGCUACCAUUUUAAUUUUUCUGUCAUGUAUUUCAAGCUGCCGAAGUCCAUGUUCAAAUCCGGAGGGAAAAGGAUAGCAGUCAAUGAAAAGUAGCAGGUGCCUCCAACAGGUGGUUCAUCUCAUCCUAAAAUUGGCAUCUAAGAUUACACGAGUGGCCUCUGGACAUCUGUGGCUAGGAGGAAGCAUAGUGUGGGAAUGAAGAGUUUUCUGAGCUCCCUCAGGAGGUUCAAAAUCGAGGAACAUGGAGGCCCUUUGCACCCCUGAUGCUUCAUCCAGUGCAGAAUACAAGCAACGCUCAAUGUUGUCCCAGGGUAGCAAUGGCAGCGCUGCCGUCCAUGCAGGCAGCAGCAGGGGUGGAAGAGGGCCGCGUUGUCUGUCCUGCCUUCUCCCCUCUCUGUACAGCAAGCACUGCUCAGCAUCCAAGGAAACAUAUUUUCAUUAAAUGCAAGAGAAAGAAGGGGAAGGGGUCUUCACUGGAAACUUCCACACAAACCGUUUAUUUCAUGGGCCACCCAUGAGUCAAGUCCUUGGCUGAUGUAGGGGAACAGCAGCUCUGUCUGUGACACAGGGGAUGUCUUUUUAUGCCAGAGUUUAUUCUGCCUUCACAGAGAGCUGUUCUUUGCAGUUGUGCUACCUCCAUACAUUAGGGUCUGUAAUGUGUGCAGCGGUAUGAGGCACCCCACAGCUGUGGGGCAAAUAGCCAUCAAGCCCAGCAUACUGUGUCCACUGGUGGGUGCUUACGGAGAGGAAUAAGGACGUAUAUCAUAUUGUUCCCAGCAAUGACAAAAUUUUCUUGCUAAGCUAAAUGUUGCAGCUGGACCCUUGUGUUUAACAGCCAUAAAAGGACUUAACCACUCUAAAAUAAUCUAUUUCCUUUAUCUAUUUCCUUUUGAAUCACUUACACCUUGGGCUCCACAGUAUCUUUUGGCAAUAUAUUUCAGCUUAAUGACGUACUAUAUGAAAAGUGUUCUUUUAGGUUCAUUUUAAACUAAUGCUUGAUGAUAUCGUCGCAUGCCUACGAGUUCCUAUAUUAUGAGAAACAAAUCAGUACUAUUUUUCUAUUCCUUUCUGCUGCACUAUUUGUGACUUUUAUCUUUAGCUCCUCUUUAUCACUUUUCCAAGGCCAAAAGUUCUCUGUUCAGUUUCCUCCAUUUUGUGAAAGCCCUUCUACACCUUUGAUCAUCUCUGCCUCUCAUCUCUCUCUCUUUUCUGUAGUUUUUCAAGAUUAAGUCAUCAGAACAACAUAGAAUCUUCAAAAUGCAGAUGCACAGAGACUUCUACAGUGGUAUAAUGAAGUCUGCAUUUUAUUCUCAACCCCUUCCCUCAGAUUUCCUAACAUUCACUUUGCCUUUCUCAUCACCACUCAAUAUGAGCCAGUGUUUUCCGAAAACUACCCACAGUGUCUCCAGCAUCUCUUUCAUGACUGAUAUCAACACUUCAGAAGCAUCAUUACGUAUGUGUAGGUAGGUUUAUUUUUUCCCCCACAACUCUCUUUGCACUAAUUGACACUGAAUUUCAUCUGCCAUUUUAAUGCUGUAUAAUUCAGCUCCCUGAGAUCCUCCUGUAGCCCGUCACAGUUGGCUCUGGAGUUGGCUCUCCUGAAUGUUUUGUUACCUGCAAGCUGUGGCACUUGUGGGCCUCUCCCAUCUGGGGUUGGUUAGGAGCAGAGGGGACAGCAGAGGUGCCAGCACAGACCCUGCCAUUGCUGUGAAUUUGGCCCCUGCUCUUCUUCAUCUCUAUACAGAGGAGGCUGGGUUUCCGCAGGGGGUCAGUGGAGGCUUGCACAGUCAGUGGAGACAACAAAAGGGAAAGCGGAGCUCACGGCAUGUGGGCUGCAAGAGGAGCUGUCACGUAUUGCAUGCACACAACGGGCAUUUUAUGGCCUCAUUAAAGUCAAUGGGAGCUUGCCAUCUGCUUCAGCAGGGGCAGCAUCAAGGUAUAAAAAUAUUACUGUUUAGAUGGUGCUUUUUCCUGAGCAUGGCUGAUCCUUGCCAUGACCCCUGAACUAGGUAUGAGUUAUCACUUCUGUAUUUCAGGACAGAAAGCAGAAACCGAGAUAAACACAGAAAUUUCAAAGAUCAUGAGUCUCUCAUCUGGCCAUAUGUGUCUGAGCGGAGGGAAUGAGCAGCAGAUGAGGGAAUGCUUGGCAACCUGUCUUAUGUGACAUCCCCCAUCAGCAGGUCUCUAUUUCUGUCUGACUUUAUGAUCUCUUUUUCUCAAUCUUGCAACUCCAACACUUCACAGCAAGCUGGGAGUCUGCCGGGAAGGUUCUGAGCUAACUAGGUGACAGCGAUAGUGAGACACAAUUGCAGAAGCUGUAAUAAGCAGUAUUGAUUUUGAAUAAACAUGUGAGUAAUAUUGACUUGGAGAAGCUGUCUCUUAACAAGUGGAAGGACUGACUAGCUCCAAAGGAUGGAGAAAUGGAAGUCCCUUUCUGGAACUAGGUAAGGCAGGUUCCAGUCACAGAUCUGAAAGCAUAGUCUAUUUCCAGCAUCCUUUUUCUUAGUCCUGUUGGUGGAUAAAGGUGUAUGAACCACAGCGCUUUGUAAAUGAAUGAGGAAUAAAGAAAGUGGUUUAGAUAGAUUGGUAGGAGAAGGGGGCAGUGAACAGAGCAGUGUAAGUGAGUGAUGAACUAGCCACGGUCUAGUGCUUGAGAAGUGGUUGACAUCUGAAUGAUACAGAAAUGUUAAAGAGAAAGACAAGAAAGCUUUUGGUGGAGCAUAGCUGUGGGAAGCUGGGAAAGACAAGCAGUGAAAACUUGGGACUGUGAUUUUCCAUCCAUGGUUGACAAGGUCCCUUCAGAAUCAAUGGAGAGGUGCCAUGGGCUCAGUGGACUUUGAAUUAGGUCCACAAUCACGAGAUAUUAGCUCUGAACCUGAUCAGGUAGAACCGAGAUUAAUCAAAUGAUACACAAUGGAAAAUGGUCACAUUGACAUCUCAUGCCUUGAACAAAGGGGAAGUACCUUAACACUUCCCUUUCUUGAUAAGCAGCUUCCAGAUCUUUGAGUCAAGGAUCCAGCUCUCACCUCUGAGAUUCGCUUGUGUUAACUCCCUGUCCUGGCAGACAGCCAUAGAAGUGUUUCUGUCCUGGGUGGUGCUGUAAAAUAACUUUAGACCACUCACCCAAGCCCCAGAGAUCACCAGUGACCCAUGGAUCUCAAUAUGAGACCCAGCCACCCUGACAUCCCAUGGAUAUGUGGAUUAUAAUAUGUGCAGUAAUGCUACAGAAGCCUUGCACAGAAAUAAAGAGGUUGAGCUCCUUUGCAUAAAAUCACACAGAAAGGAAAAGUAGGGCAUCUGGGAGGCAAAACCCCCCGUUUAUAACAACUCCCUAGUUGCUCUUUCUGUACGGCAGCAAGAAGGCUGCUGUAUGCAACAGGGGUCUGCUGAAAUGAGAGCAUUCCUUCCACACAUGCAUAUGCAAAGAUUAAAGAGAAAGCUUUGAAACGUUUUCAGAAAAGGGGUCAAUUAUGUAGAUUUUACGUGGCUUGUUAUUAAGGCCAAAAUUCACAUUGUUUUCACAAGGGCUGGAGGAUACCAAGGCAAAGAUGCAACGGCCAGAGUCCAGAUUUGCCAGGAAGAAGGGAGGGAGAAUCAAAACAUUGUUAAUUAUACCCUCUCAAGAAAGGACUCAUGGUGCUAGGAAUUCACCCCAAGAGGGUAAUUUCAGGGCUACAAGUUGUAAUACAUAUUAUUGUUGGUCUAAGCAGGAGCAGCCAGGAACUCUGACUGUGGCAUAUCCAGUAGCUUUUGCAGGGGACCCUACUCCUAAUGUAAAGAGCCUAUUCUGGGGAAUAUGAUAUCCUUCCCCCAGCCUAUCUGAAGUCUUCAGCACCAAUACAAUAAUGCGUUGAAACAAAACUGGUCAACAAUUAUUUCCUUGGACUUUUCAAACUCUUUGACGAAGUUUCUUACAAAGGCUGUCAAGGAAACCUGAGGCAUUUGGUGAAAGGUAAAGUAUUGUGUCAUUGAUUAAAAAACUGGCCAGGACAAAAAACGGAGCAGGAAUGACUAGUUAGUUAUUACAAUGCCAAAAGCCUAACAAAAGGCUAUCAGAGUGAACAUAUCAGCCAUCUUUUCAUGCAUAAAUAAAAGGCUUCAUUUAGAGGAAUUAAGACUAUUAUAUUUCUUUUAUAUCCAACUAAAAUUCCAGAAGUAUUACUUUUCUCAGUAUCUUACACAUACAUAGGUUAUUAGAAGGUUACUGGAAAUAAAGAAAGUACUGAAAUAAAGAAAAAGAUGGGUUUUUUAAUUCCUUGUCCAGGCUUUGAUGCAUUUAUUGAGUCUGGGAAGGAAGGCUGGGUCUUGGUGUUGGAAAAGUGCCUUUGUGUUCAUGGUUUCCACAGCGCAAAAACGAGAAUGGAGAAUGGGUGGGAAUGAUCAACACUUUAUACCUGGACCAAAAAUUCACUGUAGGUAAUCACUAUAUUUGCAUGGUAACUGGACACUAACAAAAAUUUAAAAUCCCAGUAACGCAGCUUGCUGUUCCACAGCUGAUUACAAAGUGAUCAUAUAAAAUAAUUUUUCAAUGGAAAAGCAGCUUUAAAGACAAUGAACAAGUAUCACUUUCCAGGAGAAAAUAGCCAGUUUUCUCAAAAACCUAAAACAUUUGGGCCCAGAUAGUGUUUUCCAGAGAAAAUUGUGGCAUCUUGUCACGUACACAACUUACAUGAGAGGGGAAAACAUUUUCUGAUCAGCUUUGUAGAUCCUAUUAUUCCCGACUUCUUAGCAUGAAUUAGCUAUGAGCACAGAAACGAUGGGGUAGUGGUAUAGCACUUUUCUUCUAGACAUGUCAAAACAUUUUACAAAGGCGUUGAUGUCGCUUUAGCAUAGGAAGACUGAUGAGAUGGAAAGCUGAGGGAGGAACCUAAAGGCAGCAUAAGGCCCUGGAAGGGAACCUGCACAUCCUAACUCCCCAUGCAAGUGCCCUUUCCAGUAAAUUGUGGGGUAUGUUAUUAUCACAUGAAAAUCUCUCAGCUGAUCUUUCCGAGUUGGCAAAAAGAGGCAAUGAAUAGUCACAAUGGGAAAGCUAACUCUGACUUUUUCUAAAGAGGAAAAGUAUAGGACUGCCCAUUUAUCUCUGAAUUGAAUCGAAGACUAUACAACUCUGCGUGAGCAUUGUUAUUUUCCUUUAUCAGCAAGGCAUUGUUUUGUUGCAUGAAAUCUGUAUGUUCAAUAGAUUUGAUUUUCCAAGCAGCUGGGUUAUCUUGCGCUGUGAAGGCUCUCUCUUAAUCUCAAUUGCUGUGCUUUUCUCAGCGCCGUUCCCAGCUGCUCAGAAAUGAGCACAGCGCUUUCAUCCUUCUUUUCGCGCUCUUAUUAGGUGUGACAGUUUCAACAAUACCCGUAUGUAGAAAAAUAUGCAGGCUUUAAUUUGGUUUUUUAAAAUGUGAUUGUCAAAAAAUACAGGCAGAAAGAUGUUGCUUUUAAAUAAUAAGAAGUCCUGCCAUGAUCACAGAAUAAUGAUGUAUUUCCUUAGAAAGAUGGGAGGAUUUUUUUUCAGUUUGCUCUAACAUAUAAUUGCAGCCAAACCUUAUUUAUCCUCAGGAGACAAGAGAACAGAAAAGAGGUGAAAUAUGCAGAGUUGGGCCAUAGGUGCUUUUCAAGUGAUGGUGACACACAAUUAAGAUUAAUGUAUGUAUCUGAUCAUUUGCUUUCUGGUAAAUGUCUUUUGAGAGACCA